UACAGAGGUCUCGAGCGUUGUUCGGAUUCAUUGGGCGUAAAGGGUGCGUAGGCGGCCAACUAAGUCAGACGUGAAAUCCCUAGGCUCAACCUAGGAACUGCGUCUGAUACUGGAUGGCUUGAAUCCGGGAGAGGGAUGCAGAAUUCCAGGUGUAGCGGUGAAAUGCGUAGAUAUCUGGAGGAACACCGGUGGCGAAGGCGGCAUCCUGGACCGGCAUUGACGCUGAGGCGCGAAAGCCAGGGGAGCAAACGGG
rnacentral:rRNA from 1 species